GUUAAGCGACUAAGCGUACACGGUGGAUGCCCUGGCAGUCAGAGGCGAUGAAGGACGUGCUAAUCUGCGAUAAGCGUCGGUAAGGUGAUAUGAACCGUUAUAACCGGCGAUUUCCGAAUGGGGAAACCCAGUGUGUUUCGACACACUAUCAUUAACUGAAUCCAUAGGUUAAUGAGGCGAACCGGGGGAACUGAAACAUCUAAGUACCCCGAGGAAAAGAAAUCAACCGAGAUUCCCCCAGUAGCGGCGAGCGAACGGGGAGCAGCCCAGAGCCUGAAUCAGUGUGUGUGUUAGUGGAAGCGUCUGGAAAGGCGCGCGAUACAGGGUGACAGCCCCGUACACAAAAAUGCACAUGCUGUGAGCUCGAUGAGUAGGGCGGGACACGUGGUAUCCUGUCUGAAUAUGGGGGGACCAUCCUCCAAGGCUAAAUACUCCUGACUGACCGAUAGUGAACCAGUACCGUGAGGGAAAGGCGAAAAGAACCCCGGCGAGGGGAGUGAAAAAGAACCUGAAACCGUGUACGUACAAGCAGUGGGAGCACGCUUAGGCGUGUGACUGCGUACCUUUUGUAUAAUGGGUCAGCGACUUAUAUUCUGUAGCAAGGUUAACCGAAUAGGGGAGCCGAAGGGAAACCGAGUCUUAACUGGGCGUUAAGUUGCAGGGUAUAGACCCGAAACCCGGUGAUCUAGCCAUGGGCAGGUUGAAGGUUGGGUAACACUAACUGGAGGACCGAACCGACUAAUGUUGAAAAAUUAGCGGAUGACUUGUGGCUGGGGGUGAAAGGCCAAUCAAACCGGGAGAUAGCUGGUUCUCCCCGAAAGCUAUUUAGGUAGCGCCUCGUGAAUUCAUCUCCGGGGGUAGAGCACUGUUUCGGCAAGGGGGUCAUCCCGACUUACCAACCCGAUGCAAACUGCGAAUACCGGAGAAUGUUAUCACGGGAGACACACGGCGGGUGCUAACGUCCGUCGUGAAGAGGGAAACAACCCAGACCGCCAGCUAAGGUCCCAAAGUCAUGGUUAAGUGGGAAACGAUGUGGGAAGGCCCAGACAGCCAGGAUGUUGGCUUAGAAGCAGCCAUCAUUUAAAGA
rnacentral:rRNA from 1 species